UACGUAGGGUGCAAGCGUUGUCCGGAAUUAUUGGGCGUAAAGAGCUCGUAGGCGGCUCGUCACGUCGGCUGUGAAAACCCGGGGCUCAACCCCGGGCCUGCAGUCGAUACGGGCGAGCUAGAGUUCGGCAGGGGAGACUGGAAUUCCUGGUGUAGCGGUGAAAUGCGCAGAUAUCAGGAGGAACACCGAUGGCGAAGGCAGGUCUCUGGGCCAUAACUGACGCUGAGAAGCGAAAGCAUGGGGAGCGAACAGG
rnacentral:rRNA from 1 species